UCUCAUAUCAUCACUUCGAUUUCAAUCCUCUGAGAUUGUCGCCAGCCAGGCUUCUUCAUCAAUAUAUCGAAAAAUGCCCUCCCUCACCAACAUCUCGACUGUGACCGCCGCUAGUCAUAAAUGGGAGCUGGCCGUAAGAAGCCAUGGAUUGUGGGAAGCUCUGGCCGAGAGUGUCCGGGCUGAAGGUUUGGAUCCACUCCAGACGCUUGGGUGGAUGAAAACUGGAAGCAUGUUGGUUGGUAGAACUUCAGAUGAUUGUGCUGAUUUCAAGAAGACGGUGUAUAAGCUAGUAGAGUUUGGUCAUAGAAACUUUCUUUGGUGGGAUUGAUUCUAUUCAGUUGCUGGCAAUGAUUGGAGAGCAAUUUCAUCAUAGAGAUCAGAUAUGUAGAGCCGUUGUCAAUGUGAGCAUUGGAAAACAAUGGAAAGAGUUACUGAAUUACAAUGACAAUAUCGGUUUAAUAUUCCAUGUCGAACACAUCAUAUUACUUCAACAUGUGAGCAUAGGGGCAGAAGCUCCUAUCGUCCGGGUCUUACAUCAAGCAAUGUCUCCGGAAAGUUAUAUAUUGUAAUUACAAUCUCGAAAACAAUUGUCUGGGUCUUACAUCGAGCAAUGUCUCAGGAAAGUUAUAUGUUGUAAUUACAAUCUCAAAAACAAUGAGCGAUGUAUUUUAUAUAUCAAUUCUAGAGUUGGUGCAAACUUGAUUUUUCAUGAAUCGAUACCUCUGAUCAAUAAUUUAAAAGUAAUUGUUCUUUACUGUAGGGCUAACCAAUGGAAUGGCAACACAUUGGCAUGCGAAGAGACUCCAAAAGUUGUUAAUAAAGGGGAAGAAUGCAUUAUUUGGUUAAAGGAUACGACAAUGGUGAACUCUAUACUCGGGCGUUUCUUAAAGAGGGAGAGCCACAUCCAGUGGAACCCGUGAUCGAUAGCAACAGGUCAAACAAGAGACCAAUAUAUCUUAUAUCUGCUCCAGCUAUUAUAGAGCUCCUGAGCUGAUUUUCGCAGCCACAUAAUAUACUACUAGCAUCGGGAUUUGGUCGGUUGGAUGUGUGUUUGCUGAGUCACUUUUUGAACAGAAGAAGUCGUUAAUUAUACAUGGAAAAUUGCAGCUGAGCUAUUCUUCUACUUCUUGGCUUCUUCUAAGGUAACUCCUUGAGGUUGAUUUCAGUGCUUGGAAUGAGAUUUGAAGUUGAAUAGCCCUCUGGAACUGCAUUUAAAAUUGACUACUGUGCACUAAGUUCUAUUUUGAGGAGUGUGGCAGAAGUGCAGUAAAAGAGCUAAGAUAGCAAUGUGAUUUUGAAAAAGGUACAGAUGGACUUAAAAUUGAUAAAGCUAAAAUUGCUACAAUUUGGGAAUGAAAAAAAAUGUACAAGUGCAGCCGAAGUUUGGAGGUUCCUUGGAAUAUGUAGAUUUUUUAGGAAAUUUAUACCAUAUUUUAGUGUGAUAGCAACCCCAUUGACCUCUAUUUUGAGGAAGAAUGUUUUAUUUAAGUGAGAGGCAAGUCACGUAACAGCCUUUGAGAAGCUUCAGAAUAGUUUGACGCAUGCUCCAGUUUUGGCACUACCUGUUUUGAUCGAGCUUUCUAAGUCCGAUAUGAUACUAGUGGAGCUGGUAUAAGCGCAAUACUAUUGCAAGAAGGGCAACCAAUUGCUUAUUAUAGUGAGAAGUUCUAUGGAGCAGCCCUGAACUAUAUAAUGUAUGAUAAAGAAUUAUAUGUGGUGGUGCAAGCUUGAGAGUGUGGCAACACUACUUGCUACCAAAGGAGUUCGUAAUUCAUUCAAAUCAUGAGACUCUCAAGUAUUUGUGCGGGCAAUAGCAGCUCAGUCAGGUUUAUGCUCGGUGAAUAAGUUUUAUUGAGCAAUUUCCUUUUGAGAUUAAAUAUAAAUAAGGCAAUGAGAACGUAGUUGCCGAUGCACUUUCACAAAGGUAUACUUUACUUAAUCAUACUCGUAUGCAUUUAGUUGGUUUUUCUCAUAUUUUUUAAUUGCAUAAUCAUGAUGUAGACUUUGGUGAUAUAUUUAGGAGUUGUGAGAAGCGUAGUUUUGAUGAUUACUAUAAGCAUUAUGGGUAUUUGUUUCGUGGUGAUAAAUUGUGCAUUCUUAGAUGUAGCAUUAGAGAUGUUUGAUUGAGGAGAAUCAUGAUAGUUAUAUGAUUGUGCAUUUUGGUAGACAUGCUACUCUUGAUGUGUUUAGCAUUCACUUUUAUUGGCCUUAUGUGUGUAAACAUAUUGAUAAGUGUCUUGCAUGUAGAGUGACGAAGAGUACUUUGAAGCGUCAUGGUAUUAUACUCCUCUUCCCAUUUCGAAAGGCCCUUGGUUGUUCUUGGUUUUUUUUUCCUUUUUUUUUGUGGUCAAAUAGUUAGAAAUCGGGUGAAGGUUUAGGAAAAUGGUUUGUGUGUUGUUUUUAAGGAAUAUUGUUGCUUUGUAGAUCGUACUAAUUUUGCAGAAUUCGAAUGAGAGGGCACAAUCUCUAUCGAAUUUGGAUUUUUACAUUUAUCGGGAAUCCCUUUCUUGUGUGGACAUCGGUGCAUUUGUAUGUGGUGAGAAGCAAUUAUUUUUGUUGCCCAAUAUGUUUUGGGUGGACAUAUUCUUGGUUGGUUGACUUCUCUUGUGCACGUGGUGGUAUUGCGUCCAAAACGCUAAACAAGAUUCCGAACAUGAACAUAUACAUGCGGGUGGGUGGGUACAUAGAGUACAAGGGUCCUUGUAUGCGAUACAAAUUUAGACAAUGUGUGUUAUUUCCGAAUUUCGAUAAGGAUCGUGUUUAUUAUGAAACUUUUCUCCAGAUGUACGGGAUGGCAGGGGCCGAGCACCGGUCGUGCAAUUGUACUACACCUGAUAAGUCCGGCUCAUUAACACUCAUGGAUAGGAGCUGCCGAUAUUAGAGGCUGACGAGGACAUAGUGGCUAUGUUUAGGGGUUGGUCCAUCAAAAUGAACCGUUCUAGUAGUAUGGUGAUAUAUUAGGUAUUAAAUUGCUUUUGGCAGCUACUUGCAUGUUAAUCUAUUGAAACUAUUGUGUGGUUUAUCAAUAGUAUGUUGCAUGUCGCAGCCGCAAGUCAA